GCCUCGGUAGCUCGGUGGUCAGAGCAUCGAGCUAGCAACCCGAGUGUCGCAGGUUCGAAUCUCCGCCUCGGAAG